rnacentral:rRNA from 1 species
ACAAGCAGCGGAGCGUGUGGUUUAAUUCGAUGCUACACGAAGAACCUUACCAGGGUUUGACAUGCAAGUGGUAGGAAUCCGAAAGGUGACCGACCCUUCGGGGAGCUUGCACAGGUGCUGCAUGGCUGUCGUCAGCUCGUGUCGUGAGAUGUUCGGUUAAGUCCGCUAACGAGCGCAACCCUCGUCGUGUGUUAUACGUGUCACACGAUACUGCCGGUAUCAAGCCGGAGGAGGGUGGGGAUGAUGUCAAGUCAGCAUGGCCUUUAUAUCCUGGGCUACACACACGCUACAAUGGCCAACACAAUAGGUUGCUAAGCCGCGAGGUGGCGCCAAUCCAUAAAGUUGGUCUCAGUUCAGAUUGUAGGCUGCAACCCGCCUGCAUGAAGAUGGAGUUGCUAGUAACCGCAGGUCAGCUAUACUGCGGUGAAUACGUUCCCGGGGCUU